AUACGGAGGAUGCGAGCGUUAUCCGGAUUUAUUGGGUUUAAAGGGUGCGUAGGCGGGCACUUAAGUCAGCGGUGAAAGUUUGCAGCUCAACUGUAAAAUUGCCGUUGAAACUGGGCGCCUUGAGUGUAAAUGAAGUAGGCGGAAUUCGUGGUGUAGCGGUGAAAUGCAUAGAUAUCACGAAGAACUCCGAUUGCGAAGGCAGCUUACUAAGCUACAACUGACGCUGAAGCACGAAAGCGUGGGUAUCAAACAGGAUUAGAUACCCUGGUAGUCCACGCCGUAAACGAUGAUUACUAGCUGUUUGCGAUAUACAGUAAGCGGCUAAGCGAAAGCGAUAAGUAAUCCACCUGGGGAGUACGCCGGCAACGGUGAA
rnacentral:rRNA from 1 species